CCAGCACUGAGGGGACCCUCAUAAUCCUCUCCCCAUUUCUUUCUUCCCCACCAGGACCACCAGGAAGCUGGCAGGCACCGUACUGGGAAUAGCAGUGCUGGCAGUGUGAAAAAGUGGGGUUUGCAGCACAAGGAGGGGGAUGAUGAAGAGACACCUGUCCCAGAGCCAUAAAAGUGUGUGGAAAGGCUCCAGAGAGAAAUACUCCAUCACUGUGGAAAACCAGGUUGCAAAGGCAAGUACUCAGGCCUGCUGAAACGCCAGCAUGACUUCAGUGGUGGAAGAUGAGCAGUGUGCAUCAACACAAGGCAUGAAGAGAGCAGCAAAAGGUUUCAUGCAUGGAUCUGUCUGUCAAUUUGAUAAAUCACUCAACCUUCAUAGUUUCCUUUGGUGAAAAAAGUUUCCGGUUUGAUGACGGCAAUGCCCAGACUGGACGCCUGGCCAGGAAGGCAGGUCACAGCAGUGGAAACCCAGCUACAGUUACACGAGGAACUGCCUUCAGUGGCACCUGGGCUUACAAAGACCCUAUGAGGAAAUGAUGGCUCCGCGUGCUGAACCUGUUUGGAAAUAACC